rnacentral:rRNA from 1 species
UACGUAGGUGGCAAGCGUUGUCCGGAAUUAUUGGGCGUAAAGCGCGCGCAGGCGGUCCUUUAAGUCUGAUGUGAAAGCCCACGGCUCAACCGUGGAGGGUCAUUGGAAACUGGGGGACUUGAGUGCAGAAGAGGAAAGCGGAAUUCCACGUGUAGCGGUGAAAUGCGUAGAGAUGUGGAGGAACACCAGUGGCGAAGGCGGCUUUCUGGUCUGUAACUGACGCUGGAGGCGCGAAAGCGUGGGGAGCAAACAGG